GUGCCAGCAGCGGCGGUAAUACGUAGGGUGCAAGCGUUAUCCGGAAUUAUUGGGCGUAAAGAGCUCGUAGGCGGUUUGUCGCGUCUGGUGUGAAAGUCCAUCGCUUAACGGUGGAUCUGCGCCGGGUACGGGCAGGCUGGAGUGCAGUAGGGGAGACUGGAAUUCCCCGGUGUAAACGGUGGAAUGUGUAGAUAUCGGGAAGAACACCAAAUGGCGAAGGCAGGUCUCUGGGCUGUUACUGACGCUGAGGAGCGAAAAGCGUGGGAGCGAACAGGAUUAGAUACCCUGGUAGUCCACGCCGUAAACGGUGGAUGCUGGAUGUGGGGCCCAUUCCACGGUUCCGUGUCGGAGCUAACGCGUUAAGCAUCCGCCUGGGAGUACGGCCGCAAGGCUAAAACUCAAAGAAAUUGACGGGGCCCGCACAAGCGGCGGAGCAUGCGGAUUAAGUUCGAUGCAACGCGAAGAACCUUACCU
rnacentral:rRNA from 1 species